UAGGGAAUUUUCCACAAUGGGCGAAAGCCUGAUGGAGCAACGCCGCGUGCAGGAUGAAGGCCUUCGGGUUGUAAACUGCUUUUAUAUGUGACGAUUUUGACGGUAGCAUAUGAAUAAGGAUCGGCUAACUCCGUGCCAGCAGCCGCGGUCAUACGGAGGAUCCAAGCGUUAUCCGGAAUUACUGGGCGUAAAGAGUUGCGUAGGUGGCUAUGUAAGCAGGGUAUGAAAGCGUGUGGCUCAACCAUACAGCUAUGUCCUGAACUGCAUUGGCUAGAGAACGAGAGAGGUAGAUGGAAUUGCUAGUGUAGGAGUGAAAUCCGUAGAUAUUAGCAGGAACACCGAUGGCGUAGGCAGUCUACUGGCUCGUUUCUGACACUAAGGCACGAAAGCGUGGGGAGCAAACAGG
rnacentral:rRNA from 1 species